CUGAUAGACGGUGUCCAUGGAAUCACUCCGAUACUGAGUUUGCUACUUCGAAUGUUCGAAAGUCACUCCAAACCUCAGUUUUUAAGGAAUUCAAGGAGAAAACUUAUUUUUAAGGAGUUUUAAGGGCCCUUCGAUCUCGUUUUCUAAAUUAAAGUGUUAUUAAGGGUUCCAAAGAGAUUCACGAACCCUGCGAUCGAGUGUAGGUUCGCAUGUUCAUGGAAGCACCGUCUACACAUGUGUUGAGAAUGUAUUGUGGUCUCGCGUUUUUUCACGGAAACCACCGUGCAUUAUCGAGCUCACACGAAGCGAUAUUACUCUUCACAUGCCAUGGGCACAGUGAGCUGCAAUCUGACAUCUGCAGGCGCUACAGUGAUGGAUGGUACUGCCUGCUCACCUCGCAGACGAAGGAAUGACAAGCAAUCUCACAUUACCCAGCAAGUUGCCGUUGAUCAUGAAUGCAAGACAAGUGGGGACUGAUGACAUAGCUUGUUUAGACUGUUGCCAGCAGUGACUGGAAUCGCCCCACUAAAAUAUCAAAGUGUAAUAUCAAACUUCACGGCAGCUAUAUUGCUAUGCGUCGUUUUAUUUUUGCUGGUGUCUCUAUUUGUACUGGAUUAUCAUUGUUAUCGAGUUGCUCAAUGCAAAAUGCACUUACUGUAUUGAAAUUGUACAAACAUUGCCACGACAGAAGACCUGUUCAUUCAAAUUAAGCAUGCUUUGCAAACAGCAUUCUAGAUUCUCAGUUGUACACAAGCAUCAGGGAUUGCUUAGGAAUGUGUGAUGACUUAGGGGUGCAUGAAAAGUAACUUUUAGACCUACUAAUCGAAUGAAAAUCAAAUGGUAUCCGAAGUAAAUCAAGGUGAAUUGAAUACCAAAUACUUGUCAAAUAGUUUUCUUUUUUUCAUAAUGGUCAGCUGUUUUCGCAUUUAAUAGAAACUAAUGUUCACAUCUUAAUUCAUAUUCAUAACGCUGGCAAGUUUCUGUUUUACGUUAUGAAGCAUUGUUCAUCAAAAAUGCAAAUUAAGCAUUACGAACAAAUAAAUAGUUUGCAUACACAGAAUUCUUUGGAGAUAGCAAAUUAUCACUGAAUACUCUGUAAAGUCUGCCUCCUUGAGCAAUGUAGCCUUCUCCACUAUAGUACUUUCGCUACAAUUUUAUGUUUAAUUGCACAUAGUUGACAUUUUAAAAUAUUAGAAAGCUAUUUGAAAGAUAAGUUUUUUUUUUUUUUACGAAUAGUGACCAUUUGAUUUGAAGACUAAAUUAAAUAGGGCACUAUUUGAUUUGUUAUUUGAAACUUUCAAAUAUUUACACAGCCCUUACGAUAAGUGAUGUAUAAAUAGCAGAUCAACUUCACCCGUUAGAUCAGAUUCGACAACCAUGCUUGCUGCUGCUGUUGCAUUUCGAGUGUUGCUUGCUUUUCUAGGCACAAGCUUGUUCUAUGAAGAGUGAGAUUCAUA